rnacentral:tRNA from 1 species
GCCCUGGUGGUUCAGCCUGGCCCAGAACUCGGCCCUGUCACGGCCGCGACCCGGGUUCAAAUCCCGGCCAGGGCG